GGAGCUUGCUCCCUGAGAUUAGCGGCGGACGGGUGAGUAACACGUGGGCAACCUGCCUAUAAGACUGGGAUAACUUCGGGAAACCGGAGCUAAUACCGGAUACGUUCUUUUCUCGCAUGAGAGAAGAUGGAAAGACGGUUUACGCUGUCACUUAUAGAUGGGCCCGCGGCGCAUUAGCUAGUUGGUGAGGUAAUGGCUCACCAAGGCGACGAUGCGUAGCCGACCUGAGAGGGUGAUCGGCCACACUGGGACUGAGACACGGCCCAGACUCCUACGGGAGGCAGCAGUAGGGAAUCUUCCGCAAUGGACGAAAGUCUGACGGAGCAACGCCGCGUGAACGAAGAAGGCCUUCGGGUCGUAAAGUUCUGUUGUUAGGGAAGAACAAGUACCAGAGUAACUGCUGGUACCUUGACGGUACCUAACCAGAAAGCCACGGCUAACUACGUGCCAGCAGCCGCGGUAAUACGUAGGUGGCAAGCGUUGUCCGGAAUUAUUGGGCGUAAAGCGCGCGCAGGUGGUUCCUUAAGUCUGAUGUGAAAGCCCACGGCUCAACCGUGGAGGGUCAUUGGAAACUGGGGAACUUGAGUGCAGAAGAGGAAAGUGGAAUUCCAAGUGUAGCGGUGAAAUGCGUAGAGAUUUGGAG
rnacentral:rRNA from 1 species